UUACGGCCAUAUCACGUUGAAACAGCGGUUCUCGUCAGAUCACUGAAGUUAAGCAACGUUGAACCUGUUCAGUGCCUAGAUGGGUGACCGCUUGGGAAUACCAGCCGCUGCAAG